UGGACCCACGCAGCAGCAGAUAGACA
rnacentral:piRNA from 1 species